GGCUCAGGAUGAACGCUAGCGGCAGGCUAACACAUGCAAGUCGAGGGGUAUAGGUUUUCGGACCUAGAGACCGGCGCACGGGUGCGUAACGCGUAUGCAAUCUGCCUUGUACUGGGGGAUAGCCCAGAGAAAUUUGGAUUAAUACCCCAUAGCGUAAUGAAACGGCAUCGUUUUAUUACUAAAGUUCCAACGGUACAAGAUGAGCAUGCGUCCUAUUAGCUAGUUGGUGUGGUAACGGCAUACCAAGGCAACGAUAGGUAGGGGUCCUGAGAGGGAGAUCCCCCACACUGGUACUGAGACACGGACCAGACUCCUACGGGAGGCAGCAGUGAGGAAUAUUGGUCAAUGGGCGCAAGCCUGAACCAGCCAUGCCGCGUGCAGGAAGACGGUCCUAUGGAUUGUAAACUGCUUUUGUACGGGAAGAAACACUCCUACGUGUAGGAGCUUGACGGUACCGUAAGAAUAAGGAUCGGCUAACUCCGUGCCAGCAGCCGCGGUAAUACGGAGGAUCCAAGCGUUAUCCGGAAUCAUUGGGUUUAAAGGGUCCGUAGGCGGUUUGAUAAGUCAGUGGUGAAAGCCCAUCGCUUAACGAUGGAACGGCCAUUGAUACUGUCAGACUUGAAUUACUGGGAAGUAACUAGAAUAUGUAGUGUAGCGGUGAAAUGCUUAGAUAUUACAUGGAAUACCAAUUGCGAAGGCAGGUUACUACCAGUGGAUUGACGCUGAGGGACGAAAGCGUGGGGAGCGAACAGGAUUAGAUACCCUGGUAGUCCACGCCGUAAACGAUGGAUACUAGCUGU
rnacentral:rRNA from 1 species